AGUGAACGCUGGCGGUAGGCCUAACACAUGCAAGUCGAACGGCAGCACAGUAAGAGCUUGCUCUUACGGGUGGCGAGUGGCGGACGGGUGAGGAAUACAUCGGAAUCUACUUUUUCGUGGGGGAUAACGUAGGGAAACUUACGCUAAUACCGCAUACGACCUACGGGUGAAAGCAGGGGAUCUUCGGACCUUGCGCGAUUGAAUGAGCCGAUGUCGGAUUAGCUAGUUGGCGGGGUAAAGGCCCACCAAGGCGACGAUCCGUAGCUGGUCUGAGAGGAUGAUCAGCCACACUGGAACUGAGACACGGUCCCGACUCCUACGGGAGGCAGCAGUGGGUAAUAUUGGACAAUGGGCGCAAGCCUGAUCCAGCCAUACCGCGUGGGUGAAGAAGGCCUUCGGGUUGUAAAGCCCUUUUGUUGGGAAAGAAAAGCAGCAGGUUAAUACCCCGCUGUUCUGACGGUACCCAAAGAAUAAGCACCGGCUAACUUCGUG
rnacentral:rRNA from 1 species